UAGUUAUUAAAUAAGUUAAAUAGAAUAUGUUAUGAUCCUAUUCAAUUAUUAAACAGAUUAAAAUGGAUCAAAUGAGCUGGAUUAUAGCCUGAUCUAAUAAUUUAAUAGGUUUAAAUGGGUUAAAUGGGAUAACUGUCUAAAUGUGAACCUAACUUAUUUAAUAAAUAAGUAAAGAGGGUUGAUAUAUUUAUAACCCAAAUUCAUUCAUAUCAAAUUUGAUCCUUCACAAAGCGAGUCGUUCAUAAGUCGGAUUGACCGGCC
rnacentral:lncRNA from 1 species